rnacentral:rRNA from 1 species
ACGGGAGGCAGCAGUGGGGAAUAUUGCACAAUGGGCGCAAGCCUGAUGCAGCCAUGCCGCGUGUAUGAAGAAGGCCUUCGGGUUGUAAAGCACUUUCAGUAGUGAGGAAGGUGGUGUAGUUAAUACCGGCAUCAUUUGACGUUACCAACAGAAGAAGCACCGGCUAACUCCGUGCCAGCAGCCGCGGUAAUACGGAGGGUGCGAGCGUUAAUCGGAAUUACUGGGCGUAAAGCGCAUGCAGGUGGUUUGUUACCUCACCUGUGAAAGCCCGGGGCUCAACCUCGGAAUUGCAUUUGAAACUGGCAGACUAGAGUACUGUAGAGGGGGGUAGAAUUUCAGGUGUAGCGGUGAAAUGCGUAGAGAUCUGAAGGAAUACCGGUGGCGAAGGCGGCCCCCUGGACAGAUACUGACACUCAGAUGCGAAAGCGUGGGGAGCAAACAGGAUUAGAUACCCUGGUAGUCCACGCCGUAAACGAUGUCUACUUGGAGGUUGUGGCCUAGAGCCGUGGCUUUCGGAGCUAACGCGUUAAGUAGACCGCCUGGGGAGUACGGUCGCAAGAUUAAAACUCAAAUGAAUUGACGGGGGCCCGCACAAGCGGUGGAGCAUGUGGUUUAAUUCGAUGCAACGCGAAGAACCUUACCUACUCUUGACAUCCAGAGAAUCCAGCGGAGACGCUGGAGUGCCUUCGGGAACUCU